UACGUAGGGUGCAAGCGUUGUCCGGAAUUAUUGGGCGUAAAGAGCUCGUAGGCGGCUUGUCGCGUCGGCUGUGAAAACCUGGGGCUCAACCCCGGGCCUGCAGCCGAUACGGGCAAGCUAGAAUUCGGUAGGGGAGACUGGAAUUCCUGGUGUAGCGGUGAAAUGCGCAGAUAUCAGGAGGAACACCGGUGGCGAAGGCGGGUCUCUGGGCCGAAAUUGACGCUGAGGAGCGAAAGCCAGGGGAGCAAACGGG
rnacentral:rRNA from 1 species